rnacentral:rRNA from 1 species
UACGUAGGGUCCGAGCGUUGUCCGGAAUUACUGGGCGUAAAGAGCUCGUAGGUGGUUUGUCGCGUUGUUCGUGAAAACUCACAGCUUAACUGUGGGCGCGCGGGCGAUACGGGCAGACUUGAGUACUGCAGGGGAGACUGGAAUUCCUGGUGUAGCGGUGGAAUGCGCAGAUAUCAGGAGGAACACCGGUGGCGAAGGCGGGUCUCUGGGCAGUAACUGACGCUGAGGAGCGAAAGCGUGGGGAGCGAACAGG